ACUUUUGUUUAGCUUCCGAAUAAAUAUAUUAUUAAGUGAAAUGGAGGCUAUUUUAAAUACGCAGUUUCAGCAGCUGGAAGAUAUCAUCGGGGAAAUAUUAAAAGUAAAAAAGAGCGGGCAGAACUCAGACACAUUGCGAACUGCGGCGGCAUUGAAAUUUGUUGCAUUAAAGCAUGCAAAUCGAG